UNCACGCCGUAAACGAUGAGUGCUAGGUGUUAGGCCCUUUCCGGGGCUUAGUGCCGGAGCUAACGCAAUAAGCACUCCGCCUGGGGAGUACGACCGCAAGGUNGAAACUCAAAGGAAUUGACGGGGGCCCGCACAAGCGGUGGAGCAUGUGGUUUAAUUCGAAGCAACGCGAAGAACCUUACCAGGUCUUGACAUCCCGAUGCUAUUCUUAGAGAUAGGAAGUUACUUCGGUACAUCGGAGACAGGUGGUGCAUGGUUGUCGUCAGCUCGUGUCGUGAGAUGUUGGGUUAAGUCCCGCAACGAGCGCAACCCUUAUUGCUAGUUGCCAUCAUUAAGUUGGGCACUCUAGCGAGACUGCCGGUAAUAAACCGGAGGAAGGUGGGGAUGACGUCAAAUCAUCAUGCCCCUUAUGACCUGGGCUACACACGUGCUACAAUGGUCGGUACAACGAGUUGCGAGCCGGUGACGGCAAGCUAAUCUCUGAAAGCCGAUCUCAGUUCGGAUUGGAGGCUGCAACUCGCCUCCA
rnacentral:rRNA from 1 species